AUAUUAAUAUUUUAAUGGUUUUAUUUUGGUUUUUUUUUAAUUUAAGUUAUGUUUAUUUAUUUAGUUUUAGUAUAUUUUUGAAUAAAUUGUUUUAUUUAUAGUUGAUUUUUACUGUUAAGGUUUAUUUUUAUGUAUUUGUUUAGUAGAUUUACUUCGUACCUUUUGUAUCAGGGUAAAUUUAAUUUUUUAUAAUUAUUUAUGUUUCUCGAAUUGAUUUGAUUUAAGUUAAUUUGUUAGUUAGUGUGGUAUUAUUAUUAAUUAUUUUUUCUUAGGUGUGAUAUGCUAUUCGUAAAUCAAUAUAUCUAGUUUUCUAAUAAUUGAAUUUAAUUCAGCUAUUUUUUUUAAUGAUUUUAUUUUUAUAUUAUUUAUUUUAAUAGUAAGACUUUGGGGGAUUAGCUUUUAAGUUAUAUUUUAUAAUUUUUUUUUGUUUAUUUUAUGUAGGUUUUAUAUUAUCUAUCAUUAUUUAGUAUUUUGUAAUUUAUUAUAUUUUUUAUAUGAUUUUUUAUAUAAUUUAAUUAUUUAUUUGAAUUAUUUUUUUAAUUUUUUAUUGUUUGUAAUAAUGAUUUAAUUAGUAUAUUUAUUAUAUAAAGUUUAUUUUUUGUGAAGUAUUAUUUAUUAACUAGGCAAAUAUAACAUUCGCCUGUUUAUCAAAAACAUCUUUUCUUGUAAUUAUUUGAGAUCUGACCUGCCCUAUGAUUAAUUAAAUGGCCGCGGUAUUUUGACUGUGCAAAGGUAGCAUAAUCAUUAGUUUAUUAAUUGUGAACUUGUAUGAAUGGUUUGACGAAAUGUUUACUGUCUUUAUUUUAAGAUUAGAAUUUAAAUUUUGAGUUAAAAUGCUUAAAUUUUUUUAUUAGACGAUAAGACCCUAUAGAUCUUAAUUAUUUAUUUUUUGAUAUUUUUAGUUUAUUUAUUUUUUAUUUUAUAAAUUUUUUUGUUGGGGUGACAUGGAGAAUGAAUUUAAAUUAACUCUUUAUUAUUUUUUACAAUUAUUUUUGGUUAUAUGAAUUUAUUUUAUUGAUUUAAGAUUAGAUACCUUAGGGAUAACAGCGUAAUUUUUUUUGAGAGUUCAUAUUGACAAGAAAGAUUGCGACCUCGAUGUUGGAUUAAGAUUAUUAUAAGGUGCAGGUGCUUUAUAAAUAGGUCUGUUCGACCUUUGAAUUCUUACAUGAUCUGAGUUCAAACCGGCGUGAGCCAGGUUGGUUUCUAUCUAUAAUUAUAUUUUUUAUAUUAGUACGAAAGGACCUUAUAAAUUAAAGAUUUUAUUUUGUUGUUUAUUUU
rnacentral:rRNA from 1 species